rnacentral:rRNA from 1 species
UCAGAUUGAACGCUGGCGGCAGGCCUAACACAUGCAAGUCGAGCGGUAGCACAGAGAGCUUGCUCUCGGGUGACGAGCGGCGGACGGGUGAGUAAUGUCUGGGAAACUGCCUGAUGGAGGGGGAUAACUACUGGAAACGGUAGCUAAUACCGCAUAACGUCGCAAGACCAAAGUGGGGGACCUUCGGGCCUCAUGCCAUCAGAUGUGCCCAGAUGGGAUUAGCUGGUAGGUGGGGUAACGGCUCACCUAGGCGACGAUCCCUAGCUGGUCUGAGAGGAUGACCAGCCACACUGGAACUGAGACACGGUCCAGACUCCUACGGGAGGCAGCAGUGGGGAAUAUUGCACAAUGGGCGCAAGCCUGAUGCAGCCAUGCCGCGUGUGUGAAGAAGGCCUUCGGGUUGUAAAGCACUUUCAGCGGGGAGGAAGGCGGUAAGGUUAAUAACCUUGUCGAUUGACGUUACCCGCAGAAGAAGCACCGGCUAACUCCGUGCCAGCAGCCGCGGUAAUACGGAGGGUGCAAGCGUUAAUCGGAAUUACUGGGCGUAAAGCGCACGCAGGCGGUCUGUCAAGUCGGAUGUGAAAUCCCCGGGCUCAACCUGGGAACUGCAUUCGAAACUGGCAGGCUAGAGUCUUGUAGAGGGGGGUAGAAUUCCAGGUGUAGCGGUGAAAUGCGUAGAGAUCUGGAGGAAUACCGGUGGCGAAGGCGGCCCCCUGGACAAAGACUGACGCUCAGGUGCGAAAGCGUGGGGAGCAAACAGGAUUAGAUACCCUGGUAGUCCACGCUGUAAACGAUGUCGAUUUGGAGGUUGUGCCCUUGAGGCGUGGCUUCCGGAGCUAACGCGUUAAAUCGACCGCCUGGGGAGUACGGCCGCAAGGUUAAAACUCAAAUGAAUUGACGGGGGCCCGCACAAGCGGUGGAGCAUGUGGUUUAAUUCGAUGCAACGCGAAGAACCUUACCUGGUCUUGACAUCCACAGAACUUUCCAGAGAUGGAUUGGUGCCUUCGGGAACUGUGAGACAGGUGCUGCAUGGCUGUCGUCAGCUCGUGUUGUGAAAUGUUGGGUUAAGUCCCGCAACGAGCGCAACCCUUAUCCUUUGUUGCCAGCGGUUAGGCCGGGAACUCAAAGGAGACUGCCAGUGAUAAACUGGAGGAAGGUGGGGAUGACGUCAAGUCAUCAUGGCCCUUACGACCAGGGCUACACACGUGCUACAAUGGCAUAUACAAAGAGAAGCGACCUCGCGAGAGCAAGCGGACCUCAUAAAGUAUGUCGUAGUCCGGAUUGGAGUCUGCAACUCGACUCCAUGAAGUCGGAAUCGCUAGUAAUCGUAGAUCAGAAUGCUACGGUGAAUACGUUCCCGGGCCUUGUACACACCGCCCGUCACACCAUGGGAGUGGGUUGCAAAAGAAGU